rnacentral:rRNA from 2 species
GACGAACCGUCCAAACGUUAUUCGGAAUUACUGGGCUUAAAGGGUGCGUAGGCGGCCUGACAAGUUGGGUGUGAAAUACCUCGGCUCAACCGAGGAAUAGCGCUCAAAACUGCCAGGCUUGAGGGAGAUAGAGGUGAGCGGAACUUAAGGUGGAGCGGUGAAAUGCGUUGAUAUCUUAAGGAACACCCGUGGCGAAAGCGGCUCACUGGAUCUCUUCUGACGCUCAUGCACGAAAGCUAGGGGAGCAAACGGG